rnacentral:rRNA from 1 species
CCCUUAGAUGUUCUGGGCCGCACGCGCGCUACACUGACGAUGGCAACGAGUUUUUCCUUCGCCGAAAGGUGUGGGUAAUCUUUUGAAACAUCGACGUGCUGGGGAUAGAUCAUUGCAAUUUUUGAUCUUGAACGAGGAAUUCCUAGUAAGCGCGAGUCAUCAGCUCGCGUUGAUUACGUCCCUGCCCUUUGUACACACCGCCCGUCGCUACUACCGAUUGAAUGGUUUAGUGAGGACUCCUGAUUGGCGCCGCCGCCCCGGCAACGGAGCAGCGGACUGCCGAAAAGUUGUUCAAACUUGAUCAUUUAGAGGAAGUAAAAGUCGUAACA